CCUACGGGAGACAGCAGUGGGGAAUAUUGCACAAUGGGGGAAACCCUGAUGCAGCGACGCCGCGUGAGUGAAGAAGUAAUUCGUUAUGUAAAGCUCUAUCAGCAGGGAAGAAAAUGACGGUACCUGAGUAAGAAGCCCCGGCUAACUACGUGCCAGCAGCCGCGGUAAUACGUAGGGGGCAAGCGUUAUCCGGAUUUACUGGGUGUAAAGGGAGCGUAGACGGCAGUGCAAGUCUGGAGUGAAAGGCGGGGGCUCAACCCCCGGACUGCUCUGGAAACUGUACGGCUUGAGUGCAGGAGAGGUAAGUGGAAUUCCUAGUGUAGCGGUGAAAUGCGUAGAGAUUAGGAGGAACACCAGUGGCGAAGGCGGCUUACUGGACUGUAACUGACGUUGAGGCUCGAAAGCGUGGGGAGCAAACAGGAUUAGAUACCCUUGUAGUC
rnacentral:rRNA from 1 species